AUUGAACGCUGGCGGAAUGCUUUACACAUGCAAGUCGAACGGCAGCACGGACUCCGGUCUGGUGGCGAGUGGUGAACGGGUGAGUAAUGUAUCGGAACGUGCCCAGUCGUGGGGGAUAACGUAGUGAAGAUUACGCUAAUACCGCAUACGAUCUAUGGAUGAAAGCGGGGGAUCGCAAGACCUCGCGCGAUUGGAGCGGCCGAUAUCAGAUUAGGUAGUUGGUGGGGUAAAGGCCCACCAAGCCAACGAUCUGUAGCUGGCCUGAGAGGACGACCAGCCACACUGGAACUGAGACACGGUCCAGACUCCUACGGGAGGCAGCAGUGGGGAAUUUUGGACAAUGGGCGAAAGCCUGAUCCAGCCAUUCCGCGUGCAGGAUGAAGGCCCUCGGGUUGUAAACUGCUUUUGUACAGAACGAAAAGGUUUCUACUAAUACUAGGAGCUCAUGACGGUACUGUAAGAAUAAGCACCGGCUAACUACGUGCCAGCCGCCGCGGUAA
rnacentral:rRNA from 1 species